UGAGUUCAAGCUCUGAGAAAAAGAAAAGCAAUCCCUGAUAUCCAGGAGCUGGGCUGACACUCACGGUGCAGGGAGAGAAGAUUCCAGGAUCCUAGGAACCAGCCCAGUUCUGUUAAGUUUAAUGAGCUGUUGA